rnacentral:lncRNA from 1 species
CGCCCUCUGAUCCUAUUGAAGAUUCACUUACACCCUAUGGAUCUUACCCUUUCGAGUGGAUCAAUGAGUGUCCAUACAUCAUUGAUCUUCAUGGUCUUCAUUUUGAAUUUUAUGACUCCAAGCCACUAAUCGAAGUCAGACCUCUGUAUGGCAUCAUUGUAGGUGAUCAGAUCCUCAUUGUUCUCAUCGAGUUCAACAGGAUCAUAUUUCAAACAUAGAAACUAAAGUAUCUAUCCGAUGGAUAUGGUACUCUAUCAGAUUUUCUUAAUGGUGUCUCUACAAUGGGUUUCGAAUUUGAUCUAAUCAAAUCUUGUUCUAUGGGUUCACUAGAUUGUGU